UACGUAGGGGGCAAGCGUUGUCCGGAUUUAUUGGGCGUAAAGAGCGUGUAGGCGGUUAGGUAGGUCCGUUGUGAAAACUCGAGGCUCAACCUCGAGACGCCGAUGGAAACCAUCUGACUAGAGUCCGGAAGAGGAGAGUGGAAUUCCUGGUGUAGCGGUGAAAUGCGCAGAUAUCAGGAAGAACACCCGUGGCUAAGGCGGCUCUCUAGUACGGUACUGACGCUGAGACGUGAAAGCGUGGGGAGCGAACAGG
rnacentral:rRNA from 1 species